UGCACUAUAGGGACAAUACCCCAACCAAAGCA
rnacentral:piRNA from 1 species